rnacentral:rRNA from 1 species
UACGUAGGGACCGAGCGUUGUCCGGAAUCAUUGGGCGUAAAGAGCGUGUAGGCGGCCUUUUAAGUCCUGCGUGAAAUCCUGCGGCUCAACCGCAGACGGUCGUGGGAAACUGGAAGGCUAGAGUGCGAGAGAGGAGAGUGGAAUUCCCGGUGUAGCGGUGAAAUGCGCAGAUAUCGGGAAGAACACCCGUGGCGAAGGCGGCUCUCUGGAACGCAACUGACGCUGAGACGCGAAAGCGUGGGGAGCAAACAGG